rnacentral:snRNA from 12 species
UCUCUUGUGCUCGGGCACGUACUAUCGCCAGUGAGGUCUUUACCGAGGCAUAGUCUUUUGCUGAUUGCAAAUUACACAUCCGAACCCGUCUGUUAGCUUCGGCUUCCAGCAAUUUUUGGACACCCCAUUCCUCUUCAUUUCCUUAGUGACAGUGUCUUUUUGGACUACUCGAAAGGAAUGGAGG